rnacentral:lncRNA from 1 species
GCAACUAGAAAACUAUACGGACCACUUUUGGGGAACUGAGUUGCUUUGGAAUUUCUGAGGACCCCCACAAAUGUCUCAAAUGGCCAAGAAAUUGAAGAUGAGUUGCAGUUGGAUUAGAGUCAAAAGUUCCAGAGCAGCAGUCCCAAGGAAGAAGAGUAUGCAGAAAUGAGGCAUUUGGCUGCUUAAGAAAUCAAAAGACAGACACAAAAACAGGGUGCUGCAGUGCCAGACGAAACCGCUGGCGCAAGCUGAGAGGGCUGCACUGGCUUCCCGUGACUCUCCUACACCUGGGAAUUUCCCCAUUCUUUGGG